UGAUGCCACUGGUUCAACAUACUCUUUCCAGGAUAACUUUGUACCUGAGAGGGAGGGAGAACUUUUGGAGACAAUGAAAGUAGUGUAAGGACUGUGAUAUUGUAUACCCUCUGGUACUAGGUGAAACACUGUGAAAAAUCAAAUCUUCACUUCUCUGGUUUGCUCAACCUGAACUGAACAUGACCUUCACCAGUAUUUCUGGCUUCCUGUUGAGGAAUGAGAAUCAUUGAUGAUUUACAGGAUAGAGUCAUUUACGGCCAAGAUGCAGAAAGCAGAGGGUAAGUGACUUGCCCAAGGCCACAGAGAAACUCUGUGUCAUGUCACAGUGGAUGAGUAGAAUUUACAUAAAAGAACAUGAAGGAAAAAGAAGCAGAUGUGGAGCGGUCCAAAGGGUUUUCAAAUGCUUGGGAGCUACAGUUUGAGAUUGGAAAAUUUACUGUACAUCACAAGGAUAAAGAAGACUCACUUCAGAGCAACUAAUUUUAUCCAUCACCUUGAUGUUUUAAAAAGAAAUGAAAAGCAAAAACAAGCCAUGAAGAGGAGAGAGAAACAUGGAGCGAUUUUAUUAAUUUUUAGGCCGAUUCUACAAGUGUACAUCCAAACAAAAAACAUCACAAGCAAAAUUUUUACCCUGGAAAGAGAA